GACGAACGCUGGCGGCGUGCUUAACACAUGCAAGUCGAACGCUGAAGCUCAGCUUUUGUUGGGUGGAUGAGUGGCGAACGGGUGAGUAACACGUGAGUAACCUGCCCCCUUCUUUGGGAUAACGCCCGGAAACGGGUGCUAAUACUGGAUAUUCACUGGUCUUCGCAUGGGGGUGGGUGGAAAGGGCUUUUCUGGGGGGGGAGGGGCUCGCGGCCUAUCAGCUUGUUGGUGGGGUGAUGGCCUACCAAGGCUUUGACGGGUGGCCGGCCUGGGAGGGGGCCCGGUCAGAUUGGGACUGAGAUAGGGCCCAGACUCCGGCCGGAGGCAGCAGUGGAGAAAAUUGCACGAUGGACGGAAGACUGAUGCAGCGACGGCGCGUGAGGCGUGGAGGCCGUGGGGUUGUGAAUCUCUUUGGAUCACGGUCAAGCCGGAACCAUGGUUGGGGUGAGGGUAGUGGGUAAAGAAGCGCCGGCUAACUACGUG
rnacentral:rRNA from 1 species